rnacentral:lncRNA from 1 species
CAAGUCCCAAAUCAGCCAAAUUCUGCCAUUACUUGCAGCAUUAUAAUUAUUGAUAGCACCCCAGCCAGACAUCAUGCUCUUCAGUACUCUAGCUGCGUUAUUUUGUUUGACCCUAGUCUCUAUCAAACCAGCAAGAGUGAUAUGUUUAUUUUGGAUGAUCUUUCUAAUCUUUUUCUGCUUAUAGCGCUUAUUUAUACCUCUAACAUUCCAACAUAACCAAUUUAUAUAGUAGGUGGGUUACCGUUAUCAGGAGGCACUUCUUUCCCCUUAUAUACAGGUCUUUGCGCUCCCCUAUCCUUACUCUUCAUAGAAGCCUCAUUUAGAGUAGGAAAAUCUGCAUAAUCCAAGUGUGUAUCAUUGUCUACUCUUUCCAGAUUUGUAUUUGGUGUAGUGAGUUCUUGCGUCCUCACUAGGCAUUUUUGAGUGCCAAUACAUAUUUCCCCAGGGGUUGAAUUCUGGACAGGAGCUGUGAAAUCCUCCUACUUUUAUUGUUCUUAUUGUCCUGGGUAAUCUUCUGAUGGGUCCCUUAUACACCCAAGCUUGCACAAGCUUGGGACCUGGUACACCUUCCUUUUUCUUUGGCAUCUCCUGUUGAACUGGUGCAGGAAGGCAUUUGUGCCCAAUUACUUGGCAUUUCUCACAAUAACGUAGCCUCUAAUUGUACACUACAGGUUGAGAAAGCACCCUACCAUUAGGAUCAGCUAUUGUUAUAGUAUCAUGUAUCUCUUUAGUUACAUUCACCUCUAUAAGCAAACAAGCAUAGAAAAUCCGUAUUUUCUUUGCAGUACAUUCAUCUGCGUAGAUAGGUUUGCCAAUUAUACUAGAAAUACGACUGAGGGAAUUGGCACCCCAGUAGUUCAUGGGAAGAUUUGGAAGCUUAACCCACAAAGGGAUCUCAGUUGGGAAUUCCCCAUUAAAAUAAAAAUCUGGUGUCCAAGGUUUCAAAAUUAGAGGCCAGUAGUUGAGCAUAUAAGGUCCCGCACAGAGAAUAGCUCGCAUAUCUUUAAGGGAUUAAAAUCAUACAAUGAAGUAACCCUCUUCAUGGAGAUAAAUGGUAGGCUCAGCUAUAGAAUUCCAUUGUUGUUCAAUGAAUCGCUUCAUUACAUUAAACCCAGGACAUUCUCCCAAUGUAUACACAAUUAGAGCUCAUCGCCAUUUCUCUAUUUCCUUAUCAAUCUCGUCCUUCUCCAACUGAACCACAACCUCUCCUUUAACGACUUGUGGAGGUAUAUAUGAUAGUGCUAGCCAAUUCUCUGUUGAUCUACUCUUUUUAAACAAAUUAACCCAAGGUUCUGCUGGACUUGCUCCACACUUAUCCUCUUCCUUCACCUCAUUCUCAUGAUGAAGUAUAGAUACAGUAGGGUUAGGGUUGUCUACCGGGGUUAUGAAUCCAGCACUACUCAAUAAACUCUUACCCUGUGAUUGGGUGCUAGAUGACGAUCCAAUUUCAUUUACCCCACGAAGAAUUGAUCCUAUUUGGGUAAGGUUCUGCUUAUCUCCUUCGUGUGUUUCCUUGUCCUCAGAAGCCGGAGGUACUUCCAAGGGGAUUUUCCGAGGUCUUCCACGCCCUCAUUCAACGUCACCUCAUCCUUGUCCACGCCCUCGACCUCUCCCCCUCCCUCUAGCCAUGGUAGUCUCAUCAACAGCAGUUAGCUACCGUACGCUCUCUAGCCAUGGUUUCCUUGUAAGAAUUCUUUCCUAAAAUUUAGGACAUUAGGAACUUCAAAGUUUCUUUUGUUUUGCCGUAUAGUUGAGUGCUAAUUUGUUGCAGUGUCGUUUCAAGUUUUCAAAAUUUAUUAGGAGUUUUUGUGUUAAAUUUUCUAACAUUAGGAAUUCAAAAUAAUAUAACUUUUUAAUAUAUUAAACAUAUUUGCUUUGUCUUUUACCAUUUUAUAUAAUUUUAUAUAUGACUCAUGAAUAUAUCUUAAAAUGAAUAUGAAAUAAAAAUAAAUAUUUCAAACACUAUUGUUAUGAUUUAUAUAAAUACAAUGAAAUCAACAUGAAAUAUUAAUAGAAUUUUUUAAUGUUUUGAGAAUAAUAUACAUUAUGAUACAAGUCAUAUAUAUUAGAUAAAACAAUAGUAGUAAGUUUUAAUAUUAAUUGUACCUUAAUUUUGAACUUGUUUUAAAAUAGUUGAUGUUUAUUGUGGGAAGAAAUUGAGCUAGAUACAUGUGGCACUGGUAUGAAGGCUAACAGAAGGUCUUAUUGCAGUAAGGAACGUUGAGCCUCGAAGGGACUCCCCUUGAAAUGGCAAUAAUACAGGCGUCGUUUCGUGCAAGAUAAGGAUCAGGAAAUCGUCACCACAAUGACAUGGCUACAACGAUAUAUAUAUAGGGGACCUGUCAGAUUGCUUAGGUAUGCGAAUAAGCCUAUACGAAGCUGAGCAGUGAAAGAAUAUUAGUUGUCUUCUCCUCCAAUAGAUGAGACAUAUGGCGCAAGGACAUAGGCAUUAGUAUUUUAGGGCUCUAGUGACAUAUCCUAAUUGUCAGCGGCUAACAUUGUAGCCUAUAAAUAGUCGACCUUCCUCAUUUGUAAAGGAUCCCCCUUCUAUUAACUCAAUCAAUAUAAUAGUUUUCUUGGUCUUCAGUGU